rnacentral:misc_RNA from 1 species
GGAAGUAAAAGUGUAACAAGGUUUCCGUAGGUGAACCUGCGGAAGGAUCAUUAACGAGUUAGGGUCUUCUAGGCCCGACCUCCCAACCCUUUGUUUACUGAACCAUUGUUGCCUCGGUGGGUCCGUCUUACGACCGCCGGGGGAUCGCCGCGAGGCGCCCCCUGGCCAGCGCCCACCGAUAGCCCAACCUUUAAAACCCUUUGUGAAUCGUGUCCUAUGUCUAAAUUUAUGAUUAAACAAUCAAAACAAAACUUUCAACAACGGAUCUCUUGGUUCUG